rfam:TPA: Bos taurus chromosome 23, whole genome shotgun sequence.
UCCUUGGUGGUUCAGUGGUUAGGACUCAGUGCUGUCACUGCUGUGGCCCAGGUUUGAUCCUGGACAGGGAA